UACGUGAGGUGGCAAGCGUUGUCCGGAAUUAUUGGGCGUAAAGCGCGCGCAGGCGGUUUCUUAAGUUCUGAUGUGGAAAGCCCACGGCUUAACCGUGGAAGGUCAUUGGAAACUGGGAGACUUGAGUGCAGAAGAGAAGGAGCGGAAUUCCACGUGUAGCGGUGAAAAUGCGUAGAGAUGUGGAGGAACACCAGUGGCGAAGGCGGCUCUUUGGUCUGUAACUGACGCUGAGGCGCGAAAGCGUGGGGAGUCAAACAGG
rnacentral:rRNA from 1 species